rnacentral:lncRNA from 1 species
GUUAGAGUAAUUUUGUUGCACAAUUAAUUUUGUGUUUGUGUGUUAGCUUAGUAAACUCAUUACUUGCAUGCCCUGCAUGCCCAACUCUAAGGUUAGGAAGUGAAUCUCAUUUGAACGUUCAAAAUCAGAAGUUCUUAACUUCAUAUUAGAUUCCCACUUAUAAGAGCUUUUCAUUUUUUGCUAUGACCUUUUAGCUUGUCCCGUACUAGGAUUUCUAAUUUUCAUCAAAAUUUAAUAGAGGGUAUUUUAUUUCUU